rnacentral:snoRNA from 1 species
UUUAUAUGAUGAGAAACACAUCAAUAUACAGUUCUGCUUCUGAACCAAAAGCUGAAGCCAACGAUAUACCAAACGAUACAUAAUAUCUGAUAU